ACUGCACGUUCCUUGGUGCUGCUGAGCUGCAGGGCUUUGCAUCCAGCCCUUUGGAAAGCUCUGUCACACAGGUUUGUGUCCAAAUCUUCUCUCCUGACCCUGGCUGCAGACAGCGAUGAGCACAGCUGCUUGGAAACCUCUCUGCUGGGCCUCUUGCAAUGGUGCAGAGAAAAGCUGCCCACUGCCACCCCUCCGCAGGUGCUGCUUUUAUUCCAGCAGGUUAAUUAAUAGUUGACUCAUCACCUCGAAGGCUAAUGGAUAUUUAUCCAGAUGAUGAAGGAAAUGAACGCCUUCCAUAAAUAACUGCAGCGACGCUCGCUAACAAGCCAUCCUUAUUUAUGCUGCUUCUCCUUCAGGAAACAAACUCUGCCGGAGGAGCUGAUCCCAGCCUCUUCCCGGGCUGUUUGUGCUCUGGCCUGGCUUGGUGGGGGUUUUAUUUGCUAACCCCGGUGCCCUUUGCUGGGGGAGGGAGCACAGCAGCAUGGCGUGAUUGCCCCAACUGGGCUGGCAAAGGUGCCUUGGGUGUUUCCGUGGGCUGGAGCUCUCUGGCUCUCCAGCAGCGUGGUUUUUUUGUUUUGGCCAUUGAAAAAAAUCCCGGACCGCUUUCAGAAUAUUGGUGAGCCCUUUCCAAGUUCCCAUCUGCUUCAAAUAAAGGGUGUUUAUUGUC